rnacentral:rRNA from 1 species
GACGAACGCUGGCGGCGUGCUUAACACAUGCAAGUCGAACGGAAAGGCCCUGCUUUUGUGGGGUGCUCGAGUGGCGAACGGGUGAGUAACACGUGAGUAACCUGCCCUUGACUUUGGGAUAACUUCAGGAAACUGGGGCUAAUACCGGAUAGGAGCUCCUGCUGCAUGGUGGGGGUUGGAAAGUUUCGGCGGUUGGGGAUGGACUCGCGGCUUAUCAGCUUGUUGGUGGGGUAGUGGCUUACCAAGGCUUUGACGGGUAGCCGGCCUGAGAGGGUGACCGGCCACAUUGGGACUGAGAUACGGCCCAGACUCCUACGGGAGGCAGCAGUGGGGAAUAUUGCACAAUGGGCGGAAGCCUGAUGCAGCAACGCCGCGUGCGGGAUGACGGCCUUCGGGUUGUAAACCGCUUUCGCCUGUGACGAAGCGUGAGUGACGGUAAUGGGUAAAGAAGCACCGGCUAACUACGUGCCAGCAGCCGCGGUGAUACGUAGGGUGCGAGCGUUGUCCGGAUUUAUUGGGCGUAAAGGGCUCGUAGGUGGUUGAUCGCGUCGGAAGUGUAAUCUUGGGGCUUAACCCUGAGCGUGCUUUCGAUACGGGUUGACUUGAGGAAGGUAGGGGAGAAUGGAAUUCCUGGUGGAGCGGUGGAAUGCGCAGAUAUCAGGAGGAACACCAGUGGCGAAGGCGGUUCUCUGGGCCUUUCCUGACGCUGAGGAGCGAAAGCGUGGGGAGCGAACAGGCUUAGAUACCCUGGUAGUCCACGCUGUAAACGGUGGGUACUAGGUGUGGGGUCCAUUCCACGGGUUCCGUGCCGUAGCUAACGCUUUAAGUACCCCGCCUGGGGAGUACGGCCGCAAGGCUAAAACUCAAAGGAAUUGACGGGGCCCCGCACAAGCGGCGGAGCAUGCGGAUUAAUUCGAUGCAACGCGUAGAACCUUACCUGGGUUUGACAUGGAUCGGGAGUGCUCAGAGAUGGGUGUGCCUCUUUUGGGGUCGGUUCACAGGUGGUGCAUGGCUGUCGUCAGCUCGUGUCGUGAGAUGUUGGGUUAAGUCCCGCAACGAGCGCAACCCUUGUUCACUGUUGCCAGCACGUUAUGGUGGGGACUCAGUGGAGACCGCCGGGGUCAACUCGGAGGAAGGUGGGGAUGACGUCAAGUCAUCAUGCCCCUUAUGUCCAGGGCUUCACGCAUGCUACAAUGGCUGGUACAGAGAGUGGCGAGCCUGUGAGGGUGAGCGAAUCUCGGAAAGCCGGUCUCAGUUCGGAUUGGGGUCUGCAACUCGACCUCAUGAAGUCGGAGUUGCUAGUAAUCGCAGAUCAGCAACGCUGCGGUGAAUACGUUCCCGGGGCU